UACGGAGGGUGCGAGCGUUGUCCGGAAUCAUUGGGCGUAAAGGGCGCGUAGGUGGCCCAGUCAGCGUGCGGUGAAAGCUCGGGGCUCAACCCCGAGUCGGCCGUGCGAACUACUGGGCUGGAGCACUGUAGAGGCAGGCGGAAUUCCGGGUGUAGCGGUGGAAUGCGUAGAGAUCCGGAAGAACACCAGUGGCGAAGGCGACUUACUGGACACAUAUUGACGCUGAGGUGCGAAAGCGUGGGGAGCAAACAGG
rnacentral:rRNA from 1 species